AUGGUCUACAAGUGCAUAGACACAGUUGUGCCUCUGCUUACUAAACUCACUUGCAGUGCACUUUUUCUCUUAACUUAUGAUACAAAAGUAUGUCAUAGUGACAGUAACAUGAUUUUUGGUGGUGGCACGAAACUUACAGCGAUCGGGAAGAAGAGUGAAAUCAUACCACCGACUGUGGCCAUCUUUUCACCGUCAAAGCAGGAGAUUCAACAGAAGAAUAAGGCCACUCUGGUAUGCCUGGCCUCCGGUUUCUACCCUGAUCACCUCAAUUUAGUCUGGAAGGUGAAUGGCAACAAGAGGACAGAAGGAGUGGGAACAGAUGAGAUUUCCACAUCAAAUGGGAGCACUUACGCAUUGACCAGCAGACUGAGAAUCUCAGCCCAAGAGUGGUUCAACCCUCUGAACCGUUUUGAGUGUAUUGCUGAAUUUUUUCACGAUGGACAGAAAUCAAUACAUAAAUUCAUCCAUGGUGAUACUGGAUGUAUGCUUACUAAAGAGUCCUACUUGCAUUAUGGAAAUUCUAUGAAGCUCACUUACCUCAUUCUGUGUGGCAAAGCCUUCCUCUAUGCAAUUUUGGUGUGCGCUCUGAUGUGGAAAGUCAAGGCUGGUAGCAAGCCAUAUAAAGAAUAAGUGAAUAAUCUCCUCCAUCUCAUCAACAGGAAAACAACAAAUUCCACGUUUUUCUUUUCUGCAGUAGAGUCCAAGCUUGUAAUAUCCUCUUUCUUGAUGGUUCUCUGUUCUCUCCUGUUCUUUCAGCUUUGUUUUAAUCACUGCCAGAUUUCCCAUGGACAUGCAGGAUAAUCUCUAUCCUAGCUUUAAAACACCUCCUUACUGCUCAGAGGUGUCAGCUUCUUAAAUCAGGAAUAAAGUUUGUGUCACUCCA